rnacentral:rRNA from 1 species
CCUACGGGCGGCAGCAGUGAGGAAUAUUGGUCAAUGGACGAGAGUCUGAACCAGCCAAGUCGCGUGAAGGAUGACUGCCCUAUGGGUUGUAAACUUCUUUUAUAAAGGAAUAAAACGAGGCACGUGUGCCUUUUUGCAUGUACUUUAUGAAUAAGGAUCGGCUAACUCCGUGCCAGCAGCCGCGGUAAUACGGAGGAUCCGAGCGUUAUCCUGAUUUAUUGGGUUUAAAGGGAGCGUAGAUGGGUUGUUAAGUCAGUUGUGAAAGUUUGCGGCUCAACCGUAAAAUUGCAAUUGAUACUGGCAGUCUUGAGUACAGUUGAGGUAGGCGGAAUUCGUGGUGUAGCGGUGAAAUGCUUAGAUAUCACGAAGAACCCCGAUUGCGAAGGCAGCUUACUAAACUGUGACUGACAUUGAUGCUCGAAAGUGUGGGGAUCAAACAGGAUUAGAUACCCCUGUAGUC